UGGGGAAUAUUGCACAAUGGGCGGAAGCCUGAUGCAGCGACGCCGCGUGGGGGAUGAAGGCCUUCGGGUUGUAAACCCCUUUCACCAGGAGCGAAUUCAGACGGUACCUGGGGAAGAAGCGCCGGCUAACUACGUGCCAGCAGCCGCGGUAAUACGUAGGGCGCAAGCGUUGUCCGGAUUUAUUGGGCGUAAAGAGCUCGUAGGCGGCCUGUUGCGUCCGCUGUGAAAUCCCGGGGCUUAACCCCGGGCCUGCAGUGGAUACGGGCAGGCUAGAGGCAGGCAGGGGAGAACGGAAUUCCUGGUGUAGCGGUGAAAUGCGCAGAUAUCAGGAGGAACACCGGUGGCGAAGGCGGUUCUCUGGGCCUGUUCUGACGCUGAGGAGCGAAAGCGUGGGGAGCGAACAGGAUUAGAUACCCCCGUAGUCC
rnacentral:rRNA from 1 species